AGGCUGUCUGUUGGGGGUUACAAGCAAGGUGGUAAAGUUAAGCUAGCAUCAUAGUCAUUUAAACCUGGAUAGGUUGUACCCAUUUCCCCUUCACUCUGACACUGUCUUAUUCUGCUGCCACAAUGCAAGCAUAGUUUGUUAUUUUUGUUACUGCCUUUUUUGAGAGAUUAUGUAUCUAUAUAGCUACCUGUCUAGAUCUGCAUCUGUGUGCCUAUGUAUAUAUUAUACACACACAGAGGCACUCACCACUGACACGCCUUUCCUUGCGGAUUGGGGUGGGGGUGAAAAUGUUUUCUCCAGUUCAACAGGAGUGCUCGAUCCAAGUCAGUCAUAUUUAUAAUAUGCCUGCUCUUUGUUUGAAAUUAAAUUUGGGCACAGGAAGCACACAGAGACAUUUAGGUUGUUUCAAAAGUCAAUUUCUGAGUACCAUUUCAAUCCGGAGGCUUUUGGCUGAGUCCAGGUAUAAAUUAGCCAUAAACAGUCAAUGACCCACAGUAGAAUUCUGGUAAACUGUUGAGAAAUCUGGGUAAAAGGCUGCCUUCAAUUCUAAGCUUUAUUUUUUUUUUGUGGUUUUUGUUGUUAUUGUUUGUUUCUGUUAUCGUUGUUGUUUACUCUUUAAUCAUAACUACUUUGACAAUAGAGCCCGGGUCCUUGGUUCACAUGGAAUAAUAUAGAUGUGCUUCUAGACGGCGCAUUAGUCCAUUUGUUCACACCUGUCAGCGGGGUUUUACUACAUGGACUUAAAAGGCAACAAUAAAUCCAGGGUUUGUAUGUGCCGUAGAUCCCCGCAAGAACAGUGCAUUUGUAUUAGAGAUGUAAGUUUUAAGUAUGGCAUUGUUGCCUUCUCUCAAGUUCUCUGGGACUUUUUAAUUUUUAUUACUACUAUUGUUGAUAUAUGAUUAUGGUCAGAAGGCCUCUUCUCCCCUUCCUUACUCUCUCCCACUCUUCCUGGCUUUCCCCCACAGAGAAUGCUAGACCAAUAUGGCUUUUUGCCUUGACCCUGUUGUGGCAGUGUCUGUUCUUGCUCCAAGUGUGUUAUUCAUGCAGGUUUAUCCCCUCCGUGGCCUCCGGGCUCUGCAUGUCUAUGAUGUGUCACUGGACGGUCAUCCUUGCUGGUUAUGGGUGGAUCGCAGCUCUUCGCCAUCAAGUGCAUUCAUGAUUUGCUCCUGUGAGGUGGUUUGAAGCUGAAAUAGAACUGACAUGCAGUUGGUUGACUAGCCAAACCUCUGCUCGCUCUCACUUUGUCUUGUAGGAAGCCUGGUAGCUUGUCAGCUGGAGAAAGACGGUUUGUAGAAUCAGUCUCGUGGUGGUUGGAAAUCUAUCUGUGGCUGCACAGUAUUGAUGCUGUCAAGCAAACAGCAGAGGCGUGGCCAAGUGUAGGCAUGCUUAACUAGUUGGGGUUCUUCCUGAUGACCAAGUGUAGGUAUGCUUAACUAGUUGGGGUUCUUCCUGAUGCAAGAAGUCAGUCACGGUUCAAGGCGCAUGGCUAUUGGAUAUCCAUUUAGUCUUCACAGAGGCUGACCGCCCUGUGCUGCAGGCAGGGUGGUCACAACUGCUCACCAUGUGAACACAGUACCUCAGUUCCGUCCCUGGCUGCAGUCACCGUGUGCUCAGUGUUUUCUCCUAGGCACCAGGGACAAGCUUCUCAAAGCCGUGUGAUCUACCCUAGUCUUGGGUGCCUCUAGUAUACGUGACCAGGUGUUGUCCUGCAUGUAAAUCUCCGAGCAGAGCCUGUCUCUUCCAGCCCAUACUGGUAAUCUGUGGCACAAGUGGAUGAGAGUGUCCUGCAUGCACCAAUGGUGCAGAACAUGCACGGUGACUGGAAAGUCAAACUCCUUUUGAAAUGUCCCGAGGACUGGAUCAGUUCCAACAUGUCUGCCAUUAUCUGAUGCCUUGCAUUGUGGUUUUCUGCAAGCAACCUAGGUUGGCUUUGGUUACCCGUGACCUCCCGGUCUGGGGUUGCAACAGAAGACGGGGAUGACUUUGCUCACUAUUCCAAAUACUGCCUUUAUGUAAGGCAGAGGGAAGGGGAAGGUUUUUAUUUGUUUGUUUGUAUUUUAAUUGUUUCACCCCUCCUCCCACUCUUUUCUUUUGGUGGCUUCCACCACCCUGAAUGGUGACGGACUCCUGAGCCUGCCGCCUUGGGCUCCCCUUAGGCUCACAGUUCAGAUCUGCAUGCCUUGCUUGCAUUGUCCUGGUAUCUGAAUGUUGACUCCUCAUUUAGGAGUUGAACAUGAAUUUCCAAAAUUUUCAUGGGGCUUGUGGCAACACAAGCAGUGAAUCUGUGUAUAAAAUUUACUGGCCUUCCUCACUUACCUGCUCUAGUAUCGUAUCGUGUGUGUGACGUCAGGCUGCCACGUAAACUUCAGAGAAGAACCUUAAAGCAGACCAUCCAUUUUUGCAUGCUCUCUUCUAAGUAGAAUGUUCAAUGUAACUAACUAAACCUGCAUGUUAAAGAGACCUAGGUUCUUUCUUUCUUGCUUUCUUUCUUUCAAUUUGCUUUUGGUUUCCUGUAUAUUUGCUUACUGUGCUGUUCUAGUGGUUGUAGGGUAAAGACACA
rnacentral:lncRNA from 1 species